GGACCCUCACUGAAGCUGGAGCAUGCCAAUUUUCAUCUAUGCUGUUACCCAGAAAACCCCAGUGAUCAUUGUGUCUUCAGCCUGACAGCUUUGGGGUUACAGCAGUGUGCACAGCUCCUUCUAGCACUAUGAAGGCUGGCAGGCAUGGAUCAAGCUUCCAGGACAGUACUAGCUUUAGCUCUCCAUGUUCCAUGAUUCAAUUAUGUGGCAUCUUUAGCAACAGAGCCAUACUGUAAUUUUCUGGAGGGUAGCCAACAACAUCAACAAUAGCCUGUUUGGGAAUCUACGGGACCCUACAGCCAACAAGCCUAAUAAAGAUAAAAUGGAAAAUGCAAAUCAAAGAGGACAUCUGGGAUGGCGAGAUGCUCAGUGGAUAAAGAACUUGCUAAGCAAACCUGAGAACCUGAGUUUGAGCUCCCAAAUCCCUGUGUAAAGCUGGGCAUGGUGGUGUGUCUUUGUAACCUUACCGCUGGAAAAGUGGAGACAGGAGAAUUCCUGAGGAUUUGUUGUCAGCCAACCGAGCCUAAUGGGCAAGCCCCAAAUCCCAGUGAGAAACUCUGCUCAAAAUUCAAGAUGCACGACACCUGAGGAAUGAUGCCUGAGGUGCUGGCCUCUGACCUCUGGUCUCCACACACAGGUACCACACUUGCAUACACAUACAUCACCCCACAUGGAGAAACACACACACACACACACACA
rnacentral:lncRNA from 1 species